UACGUAGGGGGCUAGCGUUGUCCGGAAUCAUUGGGCGUAAAGAGCGUGUAGGCGGUCCGGUAAGUCCGCUGUGAAAGUCGGGGGCUCAACCCUCGAAUGCCGGUGGAUACUGUCGGGCUUGAGUACGGGAGAGGCGAGUGGAAUUCCUGGUGUAGCGGUGAAAUGCGUAGAUAUCUGGAGGAACACCGGUGGCGAAGGCGGCAUCCUGGACCGGCAUUGACGCUGAGGCGCGAAAGCCAGGGGAGCAAACGGG
rnacentral:rRNA from 1 species